rnacentral:rRNA from 1 species
CCUACGGGACGCAGCAGUGGGGAGUCUUGCACAAUGGGCGAAAGCCUGAUGCAGCAACGCCGCGUGAGCGAAGAAGGCCUUUGGGUCGUAAAGCUCUGUCCUAAGGGAAGAAGGAAGUGACGGUACCUUAGGAGGAAGCCCCGGCUAACUACGUGCCAGCAGCCGCGGUAAUACGUAGGUGGCAAGCGUUGUCCGGAAUUACUGGGUGUAAAGGGAGCGCAGGCGGGAAGCCAAGUCAGCUGUGAAAACUACGGGCUUAACUUGUAGACUGCAGUUGAAACUGGUUUUCUUGAGUGAAGGAGAGG